rnacentral:rRNA from 1 species
CUUCCGUAGGGUGAACCUGCGGAAGGAUCAUUAAUUAUGUUAAAGCGCCUUACCUUAGGGUUUCCUCUGGGGUAAGUGAUUGCUUCUACACUGUGAAAAUUUGGCUGAGAGACUCAGACUGGUCAUGGGUAGACCUAUCUGGGGUUUGAUCGAUGCCACUCCUGGUUUCAGGAGCACCCUUCAUAAUAAACCUAGAAAUUCAGUAUUAUAAAGUUUAAUAAAAAACAACUUUUAACAAUGGAUCUCUUGGUUCUCGCAUCGAUGAAGAACGUAGCAAAGUGCGAUAACUAGUGUGAAUUGCAUAUUCAGUGAAUCAUCGAGUCUUUGAACGCAGCUUGCACUCUAUGGUUUUUCUAUAGAGUACGCCUGCUUCAGUAUCAUCACAAACCCACACAUAACAUUUGUUUAUGUGGUAAUGGGUCGCAUCGCUGUUUUAUUACAGUGAGCACCUAAAAUGUGUGUGAUUUUCUGUCUGGCUUGCUAGGCAGGAAUAUUACGCUGGUCUCAGGAUCUUUUUCUUUGGUUCGCCCAGGAAGUAAAGUACAAGAGUAUAAUCCAGCCAACCUUUCAAACUAUGAUCUGAAGUCAGGUGGGAUUACCCGCUGAACUUAAGCAUAUCAAUAAGCGGAGGAA